AUGCCGCUCUUGUGCAGUUAGAAAGUUCUUUGGGAGACCUUAGAUAUUAAGCGGUUAACUUUUGCUCAUUUGUUCAUUUUGUUUUUCUGAUUUUCUUGCAAGUCUUUGGUACAGUUUACAAGGGCAAAAAUUGGUCCAAUGAUUUCUUUUAGAUGACAUAGCUAUAUAGGAAGCUUCCCCGCGUAGUACAUUGUAACGUUUUCUUUACUUGCCUUAAAUAGCGCAUUGAAAUAUCAUAUCACAUCAUUCCAAUUUAAUGUAUGGUGCAUAUAAUAUUUACAUUCACCAUGUAGAGAGCCAAUACAAAUAAGAGGUAUGUGUGCUUUUGCUUUGUUAGCAUGGCAUGGAAAAAAUCGGUAACCACAGAGAUGAUCACCCACUUCCGAAUUCGACAUCGAGGAGUAGUUUUCGCAAAUGACUUAGCUCAUCUAAGAGGCCAACAAUGAGGAAUGAUGAUAUAAGUCAAUUGAGAAUCAGAUUUGAUUAUGUAGGCUGUUAAAAGUUCACUGGUUGGUUCAUUUUGUCUUGCUCUGCCCUACAAGCAUUUCUGCUCAGAAGUUACAUUUUUUUUAUCAUGGUAGUAAUGUAUACAUUUGAUUGCAAAGAAGAUUUACGAAUUCAUGAGUUGUUCCCAUGAAUGGCAGUAGUCGACACUGAUCAUUCUAUCUAAAAUCGAACAACGCUGGGAUUAUUGGCAUAAAAAAUUGUUAGGGAGUACACAAGGAAAGAUAUCAGUAAGAAAUCUAUUUCCAAUGUUACUAUAUCGCACAAAACCUAACAUCAUAGUCCUGUUUGUGAACUCUUUUGCAGCAAUUCAGGUUUGGCCUAUCCUCACCCCAACCCCCUGGUCGUGCAGCAUUGGUUGAGUCAUAGAAAGCCUAGGUAGCCAAUAUAGGCAACCAUGGCAUGAAAGCCCAACGGCAACCACCAUUUGAUCAUAAGAUCCUUCCAUCGGUACCAAGUGAGGUUAAAUUAGAUUGAGAGAUGCACAGCCUGGUGCACGCAUGCAAGAUCAAAUUCAGACUGAGGAAUGUCAAGUUCCACGGAGGGCUAUCAAAACCGGCCAUUCCUGUUUCAUUUCUCCUUGCCUUGAAUCAUGUAAUAUUUAAAUAUUAUAUCUCACACACUUCUCUUCAGGGGAACAUAUAUCACUCAGUGUUUUAAACUCUUUGCUUAUCAGCACAGAUGUGCACAAAUAAAAAAUCUCAGUAAUAAAAAGGUGAGCUAUCUUAGAUGCUCA